rnacentral:rRNA from 1 species
CAGUAGCCGCGGUAAUACGAAGGUCCCGAGCGUUGUUCGGAAUCACUGGGCGUAAAGGGAGCGUAGGCGGCGUGGUAAGUCAGAUGUGAAAUCCCGGGGCUCAACCCCGGAACUGCAUCCGAUACUGCCGUGCUAGAGGAUUGGAGAGGUAGCUGGAAUUCUUGGUGUAGCAGUGAAAUGCGUGGAGAUCAAGAGGAACACUCGUGGCGAAAGCGAGCUACUGGACAAUAUCUGACGCUGAGGCUCGAAGGCCAGGGUAGCGAAAGGGAUUAGAUACCCGUGUAGUCCCUGUCUCUUAUAC